UGGGGAAUUUUUGUCAAUGGGGGCAACCCUGAACAAGCAACGCCGCGUGAAGGACGAAGACCUUCGGGUUGUAAACUUCUGUCGGAGGGGACGAAAGCAGUGGUGGUUAAUACCCACUAUUGUUGACGGUACCCUACGAGGAAGCCCCGGCUAACUCCGUGCCAGCAGCCGCGGUAAUACGGAGGGUGCAAGCGUUAAUCGGAAUUACUGGGCGUAAAGCGCGCGUAGGUGGUUUUGUAAGUCGGAUGUGAAAGCCCUGGGCUCAACCUGGGAAUUGCAUUCGAUACUGCUUAACUAGAGUAUGGUAGAGGGAAGUGGAAUUUCCGGUGUAGCGGUGAAAUGCGUAGAUAUCGGAAGGAACACCAGUGGCGAAGGCGACUUCCUGGGCCAAUACUGACACUGAGGUGCGAAAGCGUGGGUAGCAA
rnacentral:rRNA from 1 species